UACGUAGGGGGCAAGCGUUGUCCGGAAUCAUUGGGCGUAAAGGGUGCGUAGGCGGGUCUUUAAGUCAGGGGUGAAAUCCUGGAGCUCAACUCCAGAACUGCCUUUGAUACUGAAGAUCUUGAGUUCGGGAGAGGUGAGUGGAACUGCGAGUGUAGAGGUGAAAUUCGUAGAUAUUCGCAAGAACACCAGUGGCGAAGGCGGCUCGCUGGACAAGUAUUGACGCUGAGGUGCGAAAGCGUGGGGAGCAAACAGG
rnacentral:rRNA from 1 species